AUGGUUGCAUGUGACUUUGAUUUGAGGUUUGUGCAUGUGCAUCCUGGCUGGGAAGGAUCAGCCUCGGAUGCAAGGGUUCUCCAAGAUGCACUUAACCAUGGAUUUCAGGUACCUCAUGGUAAAUAUUAUCUUGUAGAUGCGGGAUAUGCAAACACACCACGAUUUCUUGCCCCAUACCGUGGAACUAGAUACCAUUUGCAAGAACAAGCACAAGUACGUCAAAGGCCGAGGAAUCGUAGAGAACUAAUCAACCUUAGUUGGUAUUGUAGUCCUUUGACUGAACUCAUGGCCUUGAAUACCAAAGUCUAUCAUCCUUCCUUGAUCAUCCAUCUAAAGAAACUGAAUUGUAUUAUUAGUGGGACUAGUGAGAUUGUAAAAUAUGUACUAUUAUGUAAUAAAAUAAAUUAA
rnacentral:rRNA from 1 species